AUAACCCUUUGUUGUCCGACUCUGUUGCCUCCGGGGCGACCCUGCCUUCGGGCGGGGGCUCCGGGUGGACACUUCAAACUCUUGCGUAACUUUGCAGUCUGAGUAAACUUAAUUAAUAAAUUAAAACUUUUAACAACGGAUCUCUUGGUUCUGGCAUCGAUGAAGAACGCAGCGAAAUGCGAUAAGUAAUGUGAAUUGCAGAAUUCAGUGAAUCAUCGAAUCUUUGAACGCACAUUGCGCCCCCUGGUAUUCCGGGGGGCAUGCCUGUUCGAGCGUCAUUUCACCACUCAAGCCUCGCUUGGUAUUGGGCAACGCGGUCCGCCGCGUGCCUCAAAUCGACCGGCUGGGUCUUCUGUCCCCUAAGCGUUGUGGAAACUAUUCGCUAAAGGGUGUUCGGGAGGCUACGCCGUAAAACAACCCAAUUUCUAAGGUUGACCUCGGAUCAGGUAGGGAUACCCGCUGAACUUAAGCAUAUCAAUAAGCGGAGGA
rnacentral:rRNA from 1 species